rnacentral:rRNA from 1 species
AUUGAACGCUGGCGGCAUGCCUUACACAUGCAAGUCGAACGGUAACAGGUCUUCGGGUGCUGACGUGUGGCGUACGGGUGAGUAAUACAUCGGAACGUGCCCGAUCGUGGGGGAUAACGAGGCGAAAGCUUUGCUGAUACUGCAUACGAUCUACGGAUGAACGCGGGGGAUCUUCGGACCUCGCUCGGUCGGAGCGGCCGAUGGCAGAUUAGGUAGUUUGUGGGAUACAGGCUUACCAAGCCGACGAUCUGUAGCUGGUCUUAGAGGAUGAUCAGCCACACUGGGACUGAGACACGGCCCAGACUCCUACGGGAGGCAGCAGUGGGGAAUUUUGGACAAUGGGCGAAAGCCUGAUCCAGCCAUGCCGCGUGCAGGAUGAAGGCCUUCGUGUUGUAAACUGCUUUUGUACGGAACGAAAAGCCUCUUUCUAAUAAAGAGGGUUCAUGACGGUACCGUAAGAAUAAGCACCGGCUAACUACGUG